rnacentral:rRNA from 1 species
UUAUUAUUAUUUACUUUAACAUUAAUCUAUAUGUAAAUUUAUGUGUGUUAUAACUUCUUGAAGGGGUUUGAAUGUUUAGUUAUUUGCAGUAGAUAAUUUUAUUGAUAUUAAGUUAAUUUAGAUUUGGUAAAUGUUAUUAAGGUUUGGUAAAAGCUGUGCCAGCAUCCGCGGUUAUACAGCAAAAUCAAGUGAAUAUUAUUGGUUUUUUAAGUAAUUAAUAUUUAUUGUUGAAUAGAAAUUAGGAUAGAUUUUAAGGUGAAAUAUUUAUAAUAUCUUGAGGAAUAUUUAUUAAGUAUGAUUAUUAUGAAAAUUAAAAUAUAAACUAGGAUUAGAUACCCUAUUAUUUUUAUUGUAAAAUUUUUAAACUAGAGUAUUAGUAGUUAUGAUCUUGAAACUUAAAGAAUUUGGCGGUAUUAUAGUCUGUUUAGAGGAAUCUGUUAUGUAAUCGAUAGUCCACGUAGAACCUUACUUAUAUUAUUUCUUGUAUACCGCUGUUUAAGAAUAUACUUUUAGGUAAUUUUCUUAAUAUAUAAUUAACUAGGAUUUCAAGUCAAGGUGCAGUAAUAUAUAAGUUGAAUAAUGGAUUACAAUAAACUUUAUUUAUUAUGGAUUGUUAUUGGAAUAUGAUUUGAAGGUGGAUUUAAUUGUAAUUUUGUAAAGAUUGUUAAAAUGAUUUAAAGCUCUAUAAUAUGCACACAUCGCCCGUCACUCUCGUUAUUAAGAUGAGAUAAGUCGUAACAAAGUAGGUGUAUCGGAAGAUGUACCUAGAAAGUUAAAU